UGAAGGAACGUUAAAGACGAUGACGUUGAUAGGCCGGGUGUGUAAGCGCAGCGAUGCGUUGAGCUAACCGGUACUAAUGAACCGUGAGGCUUAACCUUACAACGCCGAAG
rnacentral:rRNA from 1 species